GGCGUCCCCAAAGUACUGCCUUCCAACGGGUUCAAGGACAGCCGUUGGCCCACACGGAGAGCGCCCACCUGCCAGCCAGGCCCUUGAACGCGCAGCACGGCUUCAUGGCCUCCUUCCUAAAUUCAGACUGGUUUUAACACAGCCUUGACCAUUACUACUUGUGUGGCGCUGCACAGAUUAAUUCAUUUCAAAUCCAUCCAGUAACUUCUGCGAAGGUGUGGGGGCAGCCCCAGGCCUGCCUCUGGCCUAGGACUCUGCUAAGGGAGAGGGCUCGCUGAAGCCCGGAAACCAGGGGAGGCUAGGAGUUAACCCUCAGAACACUGUAUGGGGUAGGUCCUAUUACCCCAUUUCAUUGGAGAGAAAACAGAGGCGAUGAGAGUUCUUUGGAGCCCACUGACGUGUCCUGGAGACCCGCAGAAUGACCUCCCUCUAGCCCAGCUGCCUCCAUGAUGACACCAUGCUAGGAGCAGACGCGAACCUUAGCUUAACAUUAUCCCAACUUCGAGGAUCCUGUAAAUCUACUUCCUUUAUCUCAACUGCCCCCAAGAUCUAUCUAUGCUGGCAGUCACGCGCCCAGAUUAUGGGCCCCUGAUAUACAUCUGAAGGGUCUCAUGACUGAGGUUCAUUUAAUGAUAAAUGGUGUUUCCUUAGCUAAGCUAGCCCCUCAAGGUCCUGGAAACGUUGCUUCCAAAAUUCCUCGGAGACCCACUCUAUCCCUCACCCCCUCCCAACCUGAGGGCAUACAGUGAGUUACCCAUCACAACCCAGUGCAGCUCUUCCCGCCCACGGGUCCUGUCCCUGUGCUUUAAUAAAAUCACCUUUUUGCACCAAA